UAGGUAUCCCUAAAGAAGUAACAAAGAGCUC
rnacentral:piRNA from 1 species